UACGUAGGGCGCAAGCGUUGUCCGGAUUUACUGGGCGUAAAGAGCGCGCAGGCGGUCGUUCAAGUCGAGUGUGAAAGCCCCCGGCUCAACUGGGGAGGGUCACUCGAUACUGAUCGACUUGAAGGCAGGAGAGGGAAGCGGAAUUCCCGGUGUAGUGGUGAAAUGCGUAGAUAUCUGGAGGAACACCGGUGGCGAAGGCGGCAUCCUGGACCGGCAUUGACGCUGAGGCGCGAAAGCCAGGGGAGCAAACGGG
rnacentral:rRNA from 1 species